rnacentral:rRNA from 1 species
AGCGAGCGCAGGCGGUUUCUUAAGUCUGAUGUGAAAGCCUUCGGCUCAACCGAAGAAGUGCAUCGGAAACUGGGAAACUUGAGUGCAGAAGAGGACAGUGGAACUCCAUGAGUAGCGGUGAAAUGCGUAGAUAUAUGGAAGAACACCAGUGGCGAAGGCGGCUGUCUGGUCUGUAACUGACGCAGAGGCUCGAAAGCAUGGGUAGCAAACAGGAUUAGAUACCCUGGUAGUCCAUGCCGUAAACGAUGAGUGCUAGGUGUUGGAGGGUUUCCGCCCUUCAGUGCCGCAGCUAACGCAUUAAGCACUCCGCCUGGGGAGUACGACCGCAAGGUUGAAACUCAAAGGAAUUGACGGGGGCCCGCUCAAGCGGUGGAGCAUGUGGUUUAAUUCGAAGCAACGCGAAGAACCUUACCAGGUCUUGACAUCCUUUGACCACUCUAGAGAUAGAGCUUUCCCUUCGGGGACAAAGUGACAGGUGGUGCAUGGUUGUCGUCAGCUCGUGUCGUGAGAUGUUGGGUUAAGUCCCGCAACGAGCGCAACCCUUAUUACUAGUUGCCAGCAUUUAGUUGGGCACUCUAGUGAGACUGCCGGUGACAAACCGGAGGAAGGUGGGGACGGCGUCAAAUCAUCAUGCCCCUUAUGACCUGGGCUACACACGUGCUACAAUGGAUGGUACAACGAGUCGCGAGACCGCGAGGUUUAGCUAAUCUC